AUUGAACGCUGGCGGCAUGCCUUACACAUGCAAGUCGAACGGCAGCACGGGUGCUUGCACCUGGUGGCGAGUGGCGAACGGGUGAGUAAUAUAUCGGAACGUACCUUAUCGUGGGGGAUAACGCAGCGAAAGCUGUGCUAAUACCGCAUACGCCCUAAGGGGGAAAGCGGGGGAUCGCAAGACCUCGCGCGAUUAGAGCGGCCGAUGCCUGAUUAGCUUGUUGGUGGGGUAAAAGCCCACCAAGGCGACGAUCAGUAGCUGGUCUGAGAGGACGAUCAGCCACACUGGGACUGAGACACGGCCCAGACUCCUACGGGAGGCAGCAGUGGGGAAUUUUGGACAAUGGGGGCAACCCUGAUCCAGCAAUGCCGCGUGAGUGAAGAAGGCCUUCGGGUUGUAAAGCUCUUUUGUCAGGGAAGAAACACCGGCUUUAACACAGUCCGGGAAUGACGGUACCUGAAGAAUAAGCACCGGCUAACUACGUGCCAGCCGCCGCGGUAA
rnacentral:rRNA from 1 species